AGUGAACGCUGGCGGUAGGCCUAACACAUGCAAGUCGAACGGCAGCACAGUAAGAGCUUGCUCUUACGGGUGGCGAGUGGCGGACGGGUGAGGAAUACAUCGGAAUCUACUUUUUCGUGGGGGAUAACGGAGGGAAACUUACGCUAAUACCGCAUACGACCUACGGGUGAAAGCAGGGGAUCUUCGGACCUUGCGCGAUUGAAUGAGCCGAUGUCGGAUUAGCUAGUUGGCGGGGUAAAGGCCCACCAAGGCGACGAUCCGUAGCUGGUCUGAGAGGAUGGUCAGCCACACUGGAACUGAGACACGGUCCAGACUCCUACGGGAGGCAGCAGUGGGGAAUAUUGGACAAUGGGCGCAAGCCUGAUCCAGCCAUACCGCGUGGGUGAAGAAGGCCUUCGGGUUGUAAAGCCCUUUUGUUGGGAAAGAAAAGCAGCAGGUUAAUACCCCGCUGUUCUGACGGUACCCAAAGAAUAAGCACCGGCUAACUUCGU
rnacentral:rRNA from 1 species